UACGGAGGGUGCGAGCGUUGUUCGGAAUUACUGGGCGUAAAGCGCGCGUAGGCGGCUUUGCAAGUCGGCGGUGAAAUCCCCAGGCUUAACCUGGGAACUGCAUUCGAGACUGCAUUGCUAGAGUAUGGGAGAGGGAAGUGGAAUUUCCGGUGUAGCGGUGAAAUGCGUAGAUAUCGGAAGGAACAUCAGUGGCGAAAGCGACUUCCUGGACCAAUACUGACGCUCAUGUGCGAAAGCGUGGGGAGCAAACAGG
rnacentral:rRNA from 1 species